rnacentral:rRNA from 1 species
GACGAACGCUGGCGGCGUGCCUAAUACAUGCAAGUUGAGCGCUGAAGGUUGGUACUUGUACCAACUGGAUGAGCAGCGAACGGGUGAGUAACGCGUGGGGAAUCUGCCUUUGAGCGGGGGACAACAUUUGGAAACGAAUGCUAAUACCGCAUAAAAACUUUAAACACAAGUUUUAAGUUUGAAAGAUGCAGUUGCAUCACUCAAAGAUGAUCCCGCGUUGUAUUAGCUAGUUGGUGAGGUAAAGGCUCACCAAGGCGAUGAUACAUAGCCGACCUGAGAGGGUGAUCGGCCACAUUGGGACUGAGACACGGCCCAAACUCCUACGGGAGGCAGCAGUAGGGAAUCUUCGGCAAUGGACGAAAGUCUGACCGAGCAACGCCGCGUGAGUGAAGAAGGUUUUCGGAUCGUAAAACUCUGUUGGUAGAGAAGAACGUUGGUGAGAGUGGAAAGCUCAUCAAGUGACGGUAACUACCCAGAAAGGGACGGCUAACUACAUG